ACACCGGCCGCCCAAGUGGUGGCCAUUUUUAUUGGGCCUAAAGCGUUCGUAGCCGGCCUGAUAAGUCUCUGGUGAAAUCCCGCAGCUUAACUGUGGGAAUUGCUGGAGAUACUAUCAGGCUUGAGGUCGGGAGAGGUUAGAGGUACUCCCAGGGUAGGGGUGAAAUCCUAUAAUCCUGGGAGGACCACCUGUGGCGAAGGCGUCUAACUGGAACGAACCUGACGGUGAGUAACGAAAGCCAGGGGCGCGAACCGGAUUAGAUACCCGGGUAGUCCUGGCCGUAAACGAUGUGGACUUGGUGUUGGGAUGGCCUCGAGCUGCCCCAGUGCCGAAGGGAAGCUGUUAAGUCCACCGCCUGGGAAGUACGGCCGCAAGGCUGAAACUCAAAAGAAUUGACGGGG
rnacentral:rRNA from 1 species